GUCAUUGCCAUGAAAGCUCCUGUAGACACAGUAACCAGAAACACAACCAGUCUACCAGAGGAAAAUGGGACCCCACAGCAUCCCAUGGCUUCAUCUGAGGGUUCUGGCCCUCUGGAAGGAGAGCAAGGAGGGGACACCCCAGACAAACGCAUUAAAAAGCCGCCACCUUACCACAUUGCUGCUGUCAUGUCAAGGCAUGCAGCGGACUUCCAAGAGGCGAGUGUUGAGGUGUCGUCUUCACAGGGAACAAAUGCACAGGGAGGGGCUGGUCUAACUGUCAAGGAUCUGCCAGGCUCACAGCAGCCAUUAACUGUGUCAUCAACCACUGCCAUUGGUGAGGAUGAAAACAAUGACACGAGUAGUUCCAGUGACAGUGGCUAUGGUAAUGGGAAAUCAUCAAGUCAGCAAACUGCCGAAGAACAGCAGUGCAGUGAUUCCUGUUCAAACUCACCAUCCUCACCACAGAAUCUGACAGAUUCCAGCAUCACCAUGCCCUCCACCCCCACCUCACCUUUGGGGAGUGCAGGAUCAGCUGCACCAUCCUCAAAAUCCUUCAUGGUUGCCACUUCCACGAGGCCCCCAAGUACCCAUUUGUCGCCCAUCACCACCACAGGGUCUCUUCCAUCAGACCGCCACUCAUAUGCUGCUCCACAGCAUACCUCCUCACCACUUGUGCAAGCCUCUAUGGGACAACAUAUAUAUUCUUCAGGCCAUUUGUCAUAUUCACAAAAAAUGCAGACUAACACUACUAUGACUAAUGCUCGCCCAGCCUCCAUUGCGGCAGGGCAGCAGCUGGAGAACCAGAAUAGUGGCUCUGUGCAGCGGCCUGGGUCUUUGGCUCUCGGCACGCUAGCAGAUUCAGCACUUCUGAACCGGCUGCCUAGAGACCAUCGACCAGGGUCUUUGGCAGCACCCAUCAAUACUGUUGGAAUCCCACCUGCUCCAACAAGGGCUGUGUCUCACAUGGGAUUGAAUGUCUCUAGUCCAACAAGGGCACGUGAUCCCACCAUGUUCAGGAGUCAAGAUUUGUCGCGAGCUGGACGCGGAUUGUCUGUAGCAGAGGAGCGUUUCAGUGGAACUGCUGGUGCUCGUCAGGAGAGUAAUGGUCUUGUCUCCAUCAUUGACCAGGUAACAAGCAGUUUGCUGGAACAUGGCGAUAGUCCCCCUCCCAAGACUCCAGUGACUCCUAGUGCUCCUUCUUCGACUUUUCCUACCACUUCACCCACAAUAGCAACACCUCCAUCCAAACUGGCAGGCACCCAAGUCACCAGUGAUAGGAUACCCUUAUCAGCAUCUGAGUCUACAACAUCAGAAUCCUAUGUGACUAGUGAUACAAGUGGCAGGUCCUCCCUCUCUUAUCAACGUGGUGUGGGUUCAUCCCUGACCAGCAGUGGUGGACUCACCAACUUCACUCAAGACCAACCUCGUGGUGAGGUUUUGCAUCCAACUCCACAUCGACCACAUGUUAUCUCUCCUUCAGGCUCCAGACAUGGAUUAGACUCUCUGCAAGACCCCAGUGUGGGUACUCCAGAUAAGGUAGCAAUGGGAGUCUCUCAGCAUAUUGAGGCUGGGACUUCCCCUCCCAGAACAGCACCUAAGCCUCAGUCAAGAAUCCCAGCACUCAAUCCAGAGAGUUAUCCAGCUGUUACACCUGGUAAAGCAAAUCAUAAGACAAGCUUUGACUCUCAUGCUAGUCACAGUCCUGCUCAGAUGACAGAAUCUCGUAUACCCACUUUAGGCAACAUUGGCCGUUCUCCCAGUAACUUAACCAGUGAAAGAUCAAAUGAGAGUCAUGUCUUACCUGAGUCAAGAAUACCAACCCUUGGUGCCAUGGGAAGAAGUCCAAGCAGUCUCAAUCAUGAAAGUAAGGCAGAAAGUAGAAUUCCAACUCUUAAUAACAUGGGACAUAGUUCCUCCAACUUACUACAUGAUAAGCAGACUUCAGGAGAAUCACGAAUACCCACUCUUGGAAGCACAGGGAGAAGUCAAAGCAACCUUGGUCAUGAAGCACCAACUACGCCAGAGUCUCGUAUUCCAACAAUAAGUGCAGUGGGUAGAACAUCUAGUAACUUGACACGUGAAUCCAUUGGGUUGAAAAAGCCAGCCAGCUCACAUGAAGGAGUCACAAAACCUGCAUCAAAUCUUAACACACCACAGCAGCUUAGAACUGCUGGGAUGAAUGGAUCAGGUAUUCCAAGUUUAGCCUCACAGGGGAGAAGCAGUAGCAGCUUAGGAUCAGGCAUCCCAAGUCCAAGUCCAACUUCUACAGGGUUAAGAACUGGCAUCCCCAAACAUGAUGCAACAGAUGGGCUAACCAAGAAGUCAUUGGUGUAUGGAGGAACAAGCCAAGUGUCCUCCACAUCUCGCCUCCAGUCCCCAAGUUAUUCAAGUGGUAUUAGGCCCCCUGCCUAUUCAUCGGCUAGUCCUCUGCCCAGUCCAGCCCAGCACCCAUCAAGCAAUUUUACCCAGUCCCCAGGUUAUUCAUCUGGCAUCCGACCACCCUCUAUCAAUUCGGCAAUUAACACCCCAGGUAUCCCACUGCCUUCUUCAGGAUCAACAAGCCACCUGACCAAUCCAGGGUCAAGAGGGUCAAUCACAUCAACAGGAUCUGGUACUCGUAUUCCAAUGGUUGCAGGAAAUUCUGCAUCAAGACUCCCUGCACCUAAUGCCAACAAGCACCGUGUGUCUCCAUCAGCACAAAAUGCAGAUAACAAAACAAACAAUUCAGCGUGGAUGUUUGGCCAGCACAAAAAUGCCCGUGUGGUAUGUCAGAAUUCCAGGAAGGUCUGGAUUCCUGAACGAAGAGUGUCCAAGUUUCACCUCAAAUGUUCCCGGUAGUAAUAGAAAAAAAUCCAGGCCUUGGCUUUACGAUUGGGCUGUCAGAUUCUGAUGCAGAAGAUAAGAGUAUUUAUGUGACGAGUGUCGCAGGAGGGGGGGCAGCUUCCUCAGCCCUCAAAGUUGGGGACAAGUUGCUGCAGGUGGAUGGGGUUGACCUUCGACUAGCGGACUUACACACAGCAACUUCUAUCCUCAACAAGACCUCCAACACAGUUAACCUGAUGGUGUCCCGACUCCAGUGAUCUUCGUUGUUGUCAGAUGCUUUUUUUAUUAUCAUUAUUGUAUGUAACAGAGUAUGAAUAACCAGCAACUUGUAGCAGUUGAAAAAAAUGCUGUCUUUUAAGGAUAGUUAGCUUUAUGGUGAACUUAUUGUACGUUUUGACAGUGUUUGUGAUUGUCAAAUAAAGAGCUGAUGCUAUAGCAUUCCUCUUUCCUUUUUUAUUUCUUUCUAAUAUUUUUUUGUGUUUACUUCCUGCUACCAACCACAAAAUUCAGCAUAAAUUGCUUUGGUUGGUACAAAUCCAAAAGUGAAUGUUUAAGUUUUCAAAAACUACAUAAGGACAUUCUUUUGAAUUUAUUAAAUACAUUGACACAAAAGGACAGAACUAGAGGUGUUACUGGCUGUAUUUACGAUAAAAUACCUCAAGUGAUAUGUUGUACAGAUGUAUCAUCAUCUAUUUAAUGAGGUAUUUGCUUUGAUGGAGCAGGCCUAUGGUAACAGGAAACAGGUUUUAGGAGAAAAUUUAUAGGAUAUUGAUUAAUUCAGAGAUAAAUAUUCAAGUGCCUUUGAGUCACAAUAUAAACAGUACAAAAGAAAGUUGUGCAAAUUAUAUGUAUAAAAUCCUCAGAUAAAGUUUAUAGCUCCAAAUGCAGUAUAAAGUUCAUGCUAACAGAAAAGUAAACUGCAAUAUACACAAGGCCUUUAUACCCAUGUUAAUUUUCCUUCUGUAAAUCUAAUAUUUAUUGAUGUAAAUGACAUGCAACCCUAAGUAAAACCAUUGCACCUUUUAUUGUCAGUGUACUUUAUAUGUGUUUUAUAUAAUGUGUAAUAUACUCUUUGAUGUAGUCAUCAAGCAGAUACUAUGAGAAAAUUCCCAGAAAUUUUUACUUUUUUAAUUUACAGAGCCAAGUAAAACUUCAGAGUUUCCUUCAGUAAACUUAAAAAUUAGUAAUAUAUCAUAUCCAAAGUUACUUUUUACCCUCUAUUUUGCUGACUACCAAGGUCCUGAUUGCAAUAUCAAUGUGAUUCUGAAAAGCUCUCUUUCAUUGUUGGCUGUUUAUGAUGAUAUAACCAUAGCUAUAACCUACUGAUAAUUGUUUGGUGUCUGCCAUGCACUCCUACUGUAUGUGGAAGGAAGUUUAACAUUAACAUUGCUGUAAUGAUAUUAUAUUCAUAUUGUAAAACUAUGUGAAGAAUAUUUGCUUCAGAAGUCUAGCUCUGCUUUAGUGCCCUUGCAUAAUAAUGAAUUUUAUAAACAAAAACUACUUAUUUAUUGUGUUAAACAUUUGGAAUAAUGGUGCCUUUUUAUGAGUGAAAAAGUGCAAAAUACUAGUGUUACUGUGUAAUUUAUGCUGAAGAUGAAAAAUUCCAGGGAAAUCAUGAAUAAAGAUACACUUUGUGUGUAAAACUCAAUAUUAGCCAUUCCACUUAGUCAGCCUUAUAUUUUAUCUGGUGCAGUUUUAAACAAAACUUGUUUAUGGAAGUUAUUUUUAUCUUGCAUCAAGCACAGUUCUCUGAAAAUUUCUGUUUUGUUACUAUAUUACUGUAGACAGUCCUGCUGUAUAGUAACUUUAUGGCAGUGUUAUUUUACAAGAUACUUUGAUGAUUUUAACAUUAGUAAUGCUUCAAUUGAAGAUGCUUUUUUAUGAGGAUAAGUUUUGCCCUUUAACAUUUCCUGUCUUGUUCACUCAUUUCUGCCAUUGAGAAUACUGAUGUAUUGUUUUUUAUUAAGUUAUUUAAUUGGUGCAGGAAUUUUUUGUGCUUUUGUUUAAAAAAGGUCUAUUGUAAUGUAAAUAUAAAGAUUUUGUUUUCUGAAUUAUUGCACAAUUACAUGAAGUACUUGUUGGAUGAAGAAUCUAUUGUGUACUUAAUUAUUUUCCAUGAAAAUAAAUGAUGAUGAAAUAUCUCCAUAAGCUUAUUUUGCAUAGAAUUUCUCAAAUUUGGUUUAAGGAUUUGAAUCUUACAAGAUUUGCAUAUGGAAUUGGUAGUUAUCACACAUAGCUUUAUGUAUGUAAAUGCGAAGCUGUAUGCCUUUAAAAUUGGCAGGUGCAUGCUUUAUUUCCAAUUUGACUGCCUCUGUGUGGAAGGGAUGCAUGAUUAUACUACUUCAUUUUUUUGUACAAUGCUUUUUAAGUCCAGAUAAAAGCUUUAGUCACUAAGUUUAAGUGCCAGAGAGUGUGGUGCUCAAGUGCUGGUGGAUUCAAGAAUGUCUAAUAAAGAUAGAGGUUGUAUUAUCCACACAGAAGAACCUUGUAGUUCACAUUAAGUUUCAAGAAUUACUCGUGUUGUAAACUACACAAUAUAUUUUGUCUGAAUGAAAGUCGGUAUAGAGGCAUAUGAUGCUUUAUGACAUUUCUAUGGUCUGUAUAACUUGUGUAGCUGGCCAGGCACCCAUUGUAAUAUAGAUUAGUUGUGAUUAUCAGCUUUCAGUGAGCCCCACAACUGGUUAGAAUUAGCUUUUAUUUUAGUACAUUCCUAAUAAAUAUAUAUGUCCAGUGAUUAUGACCUCAUUACUUAAAUGGUUGCCGAUGUAUAUUUGAAUUCUAGCAAAAGGAAAGUAGCUUUUACUUAAUUUUAUUAUAUUUUUGUUUUUGGAAGUCAAAUUUAUAGCCCAUGUCUUUUACAUGGUACCUUGUUGGUGUAUAUUUUGGUACUCAAGGGACCAGGCACAGAAAAUAUACUGUAAUCCUGUGGCAGCUUUUUAGAAUUGGUGAUAUAUUUUAUAAAAGAAAAACAGUAAAAAUGCAAUAUUCCUUGCAUAAUUAACACUUUGUAACAUGAAAAUAAAUAUUUAUUAGAAAAUAUUAGAUAUUAUGUUACUGAGACAGAUACACCAACAAGAGUCAAGAGUUCUAGUGAAGCAUAGUUUUCAGAAAGAUUGAUAGACUCAAGAAGCUGAGUCAAGCGAGAGUUGAUUUCAUGUUUGUUUUUGUCAUACACAGUUUUGCAGUUUGUCACAAGUACAUUACAUAAUGUAUCAUACCUAUAGGUGGAUAAACUUACCUUUUUGAUUUGUUUUCCUCCAUAAUGAAACACCCAGUAUAGACAGUAAAGGGCUUUUAUCACAUACACAAGCAGCAUAGAAAUUUCCAUUGAACUGGUUGAAAUACCUAGAUUAUCUAGGAGAUAAAUUUUGCAGACCACACACUGAGCAGAGAUUUUAUAAGAAUACUUAGUUUUAGGACACAACACAGGAUCAAUAUGUAAAUAUGGUAUUAAUUUCGAAUUUGUACAUAUAAUGUAUAGAUAUGUUCACCCAACCUUUUCCAUUAUCUAAUACUGAAUAUGAAAUUCAAUUUUGAUUGAAUUCAGUUGAUUUUACUUUGACUUAGAAGUGGAAAUUCUUUUUUCUAGUUAUUUCAUAUUUACUCAUUAAAUGUUGCCAUCAUUAUUAUAUUUUAGAUUUUUUUUACUUGGAAAUCCUGUCAGUAUUUACAAAAAGAAUGGAAUUGACAGUAUUCAGAUUUUUUUUACAUAUCUUCUUUUUGCAAAUAUGGGAAAGGUGAAUAGGCUUAUACAGAGGAAUUAUAACUGUACACUGAUAGGUGCCAUAGCAUUCCAACAGUAUUUUGCAAUAUAGUUUGAAGCCAGUUUGAAUGGGAUAUUAUCUUGAGCUGCAUCUUUGUGUUAGCCUUAGGAAUUAGUUGUCAUGAUGAAUUCCUGAACAGUGUAUAGUCCACAAUGAUGUUCUAUUUCUCUAACUUGAUAAAUAAAAAUUUUCUCGUGUA